CGAAGGUAGCAUAAUCAGUAGUCUUUUAAUUGAAGGCUGGUAUGAAUGGUUGGAUGAGAUAUUAACUGUUUCAUUUAAAAUUUUUAUAAAAUUUUAUUUUUUAGUUAAAAAGCUAAAAUAUUAUUAAAAGACGAGAAGACCCUAUAAAUCUUUAUAUUUUGUUGUUAUUAAUUAUUUGGAUAUCUUUGGUUAUUAAUAGUUAAAAUAUUUUAUUGGGGUGAUAUUAAAAUUUAAUAAACUUUUAAUUUUUAAAUACAUAAAUUUAUGAUUUUUUGAUCCAUUAUUAAUGAUUAAAAAUUUAAGUUACUUUAGGGAUAACAGCGUAAUUUUUUUGGAGAGUUCAUAUCGAUAAAAAAGAUUGCGACCUCGAUGUUGGAUUAA
rnacentral:rRNA from 1 species